rnacentral:misc_RNA from 1 species
AAGUCGUAACAAGGUCUCCGUAGGUGAACCUGCGGAGGGAUCAUUAUAGUAUCACCAUAACAACCACAAGUGUUGUGGGAGGGGGAGGGGGUUAAGUGAGGUCACUCUCUCUUUUCUCUCUCUCUCUCCCUCCUGUGACACUUCAACCAAACGAUCACAACUAAAAGAGGGGAAAUGAUUUGACUCCCGCUACUUACUAUACUCUCUUGAUUUGCGAGGGGACACAGAGAGAAGCUAACAAGUGUUUGCCUGAUAAUUGGUUGAUUUGGAAACUAAUGGAAAACAAUAUACAACUUUCAACAACGGAUCUCUUGGCUCUCA